rnacentral:rRNA from 1 species
UACGGAGGGGGCUAGCGUUGUUCGGAAUUACUGGGCGUAAAGCGCACGUAGGCGGCUUUGUAAGUUAGAGGUGAAAGCCCGGGGCUCAACUCCGGAAUUGCCUUUAAGACUGCAUCGCUAGAAUUGUGGAGAGGUAAGUGGAAUUCCGAGUGUAGAGGUGAAAUUCGUAGAUAUUCGGAAGAACACCAGUGGCGAAGGCGGCUCACUGGCCCGGUACUGACGCUGAUGUGCGAAAGCGUGGGGAGCAAACAGG